rnacentral:lncRNA from 1 species
GUGGGCGGCGCCGAGAGCAUCCCGCGCGUGAUCGGGCCGCGGGCGUCAAACCGGCGGUGACCUGCCUGCUGCGGCGUGAACAAGGCCGACAAGUCCCCGGGAGCUCAGGAAACAUCUGCUCCUCACGUCGGAGGCAGAAACUUGACCGUGAUGCGUGGAAAGCCAGGAUGGAACCGCUCCCUUUCUCCGGAGCCGCGGGGGUGGGCGGCGCCGAGAGCAUCCCGCGCGUGAUCGGGCCGCGGGCGUCAAACCGGCGGUGACCUGCCUGCUGCGGCGUGAACAAGGCCGACAAGUCCCCGGGAGCUCAGGAAACAUCUGCUCCUCACGUCGGAGGCAGAAACUUGACCGUGAUGCGUGGAAAGCCAGGAUGGAACCGCUCCCUUUCUCCGCAGGCAUCAAGGUGGGCCCGGCCCCGGGAGCCAGGCCGGAGCUCAGGACCAGUUCUGUGCACUGCAUGCAGGUGUCAAAAUCCACUCAUCUAGGAAACUGUGUAGAGUGGAGAAAAGUUAAAAAAGGCAUCUUAACACCUGGCCCCAGAAUCUCUUCUAGAAAAGGAAUUGUCUUUAUUUAGAAAAAUCCUCAAAUGGACCAUUCAGAUGUGAAAGGACAGGCCCCAGGGUAGGUGGGGAGUAGCACUUAGCUGCUUUGUAUAAAAAUGGACGAUUGAUGUCCCUGUCCCUAUGCUUCCUGAUAAGGUCAGAAAGCAGAGGGCUCUUAGAGUCAAGCAUUCAGGUUUGAAUCCCACCUCUCUAUGACUUUGGGCUAUUUAACCUUUCUGAGCUUCAAGUUCUUUAUUUGUAAUAUGGGGAACCAUAGUCAAAUUUUCCUCUCAAG